AUUUCUCCUAUCUGCAUGCCCAUCACUCCCGAAUUAAGAAAAAAAACCUAUGUACGUUACACUCCCUUCAUCGCAGGCUGGGGUAAGACAAUGGAAGGUGGUACCUCUUCUAACGUGCUAGAAGAACUACAAGUUACAAUUUAUGAAAAUGAAUUAUGUAGAGAUCGCUACAAGCAAAAAAUCGCCUCUUUCCCGAAAAAGAAUUUGAUAAUGCUGUUAUAUGUGCGGGUUUAUUCUCGGGAAGAAAUGAUACCUGCCAGGGAGAUUCUGGUGGUCCUCUCAUGAUACCAGAGAUAAAUGACUACACUGUGCGUUUUUAUUUGAUUGGUGUUUCAUCAUAUGGUUUUGGUUGUGGCCUCCCCGAAAUUCCUGGUAUCUAUUCGAGUACACAGUAUUUUGUAGAUUGGAUUAUACAAAAAGUGGCUGAAACUCCUUAACUUGCAUAGUUUUUGAACUUUUUACCUUCUAUGUUAUGUUAAUUUUUUCUCUUUGAUUUGAUUUUUAUUAUUUUAAAUUUUUUAAAUAAAUAUUUAUAUAAAUAUGUA